rnacentral:rRNA from 4 species
AAAUUGAAGAGUUUGAUCAUGGCUCAGAUUGAACGCUGGCGGCAGGCCUAACACAUGCAAGUCGAACGGUAACAGGAAGCAGCUUGCUGCUUUGCUGACGAGUGGCGGACGGGUGAGUAAUGUCUGGGAAACUGCCUGAUGGAGGGGGAUAACUACUGGAAACGGUAGCUAAUACCGCAUAACGUCGCAAGACCAAAGAGGGGGACCUUCGGGCCUCUUGCCAUCAGAUGUGCCCAGAUGGGAUUAGCUUGUUGGUGGGGUAACGGCUCACCAAGGCGACGAUCCCUAGCUGGUCUGAGAGGAUGACCAGCCACACUGGAACUGAGACACGGUCCAGACUCCUACGGGAGGCAGCAGUGGGGAAUAUUGCACAAUGGGCGCAAGCCUGAUGCAGCCAUGCCGCGUGUAUGAAGAAGGCCUUCGGGUUGUAAAGUACUUUCAGCGGGGAGGAAGGUGUUGUGGUUAAUAACCGCAGCAAUUGACGUUACCCGCAGAAGAAGCACCGGCUAACUCCGUGCCAGCAGCCGCGGUAAUACGGAGGGUGCAAGCGUUAAUCGGAAUUACUGGGCGUAAAGCGCACGCAGGCGGUCUGUUAAGUCAGAUGUGAAAUCCCCGGGCUCAACCUGGGAACUGCAUCUGAUACUGGCAGGCUUGAGUCUCGUAGAGGGGGGUAGAAUUCCAGGUGUAGCGGUGAAAUGCGUAGAGAUCUGGAGGAAUACCGGUGGCGAAGGCGGCCCCCUGGACGAAGACUGACGCUCAGGUGCGAAAGCGUGGGGAGCAAACAGGAUUAGAUACCCUGGUAGUCCACGCCGUAAACGAUGUCGACUUGGAGGUUGUGCCCUUGAGGCGUGGCUUCCGGAGCUAACGCGUUAAGUCGACCGCCUGGGGAGUACGGCCGCAAGGUUAAAACUCAAAUGAAUUGACGGGGGCCCGCACAAGCGGUGGAGCAUGUGGUUUAAUUCGAUGCAACGCGAAGAACCUUACCUGGUCUUGACAUCCACGGAAGUUUUCAGAGAUGAGAAUGUGCCUUCGGGAACCGUGAGACAGGUGCUGCAUGGCUGUCGUCAGCUCGUGUUGUGAAAUGUUGGGUUAAGUCCCGCAACGAGCGCAACCCUUAUCCUUUGUUGCCAGCGGUUAGGCCGGGAACUCAAAGGAGACUGCCAGUGAUAAACUGGAGGAAGGUGGGGAUGACGUCAAGUCAUCAUGGCCCUUACGACCAGGGCUACACACGUGCUACAAUGGCAUAUACAAAGAGAAGCGACCUCGCGAGAGCAAGCGGACCUCAUAAAGUAUGUCGUAGUCCGGAUUGGAGUCUGCAACUCGACUCCAUGAAGUCGGAAUCGCUAGUAAUCGUGGAUCAGAAUGCCACGGUGAAUACGUUCCCGGGCCUUGUACACACCGCCCGUCACACCAUGGGAGUGGGUUGCAAAAGAAGUAGGUAGCUUAACCUUCGGGAGGGCGCUUACCACUUUGUGAUUCAUGACUGGGGUGAAGUCGUAACAAGGUAACCGUAGGGGAACCUGCGGUUGGAUCACCUCCUUA